GCCAAAAGGAACAGAGAAACAACACAAGGAGCUGGAACUGGCCAAGCAGCACAGCCUGCAGCUGGAUGUGGUUUUCAAUCGCCAUUUCAAGCUAAAGGAAAUACGCACGAGAAAAAAAGAAAAGAAAGGAAAUCAGAUAGUUAGCAACAGCCAAGGAAAUUGCAGGAAUUUUUUAAAUUUAUCAUAACAAAGAAUGAGCAUUUUCUUUUGGACCAUCUAUUCCAAGAAGUCCACACAAUCCAAUAUCAGACAAUCCAAUAUCAAGUUUACCCUAUUCGUUGCAAUCAUGCUCAAGAGAAGGGCAAGACAGAAUCUACCAGUGGGUCUGCGAGCUGAAAUCCAUCUGCAGGAGAUUGUUCAGAACAAAUUGCUUCAAUUACUCCUUCAAAUUACUCUUUUUGUGCAACAUUAAAGGUGGUGUUAGCAUAAAAGAACUUGACAAGAAGUUGAAACAUUUAAGUUUUUGCUUUUCAGUUGUUCUUAAUGGCAUCAUCAGAGAGUGACCCGUGACACAUCUGGAGUGUUGAGAUGAACAAAGAUUGCUUCAGAAUGAAACUAAUGUUGAAGAGCUGCUGGAAAGCUUGGAAGAUUCGUUUACAUUUUUAGUGUGGGUCUCUUUUGAUGAUAUCUGUGUCAUCCAAAAUUGAUUUUCUAGGAUCAAACUCAAUAUUCUUCUCCUCUAAGCAAUAUUCUGCUAUUCUUUAAUAGGCAAUGGUUCUUCGGGGUCAAACGUGCCACUACAUGCACAUGAAUAAACUGAUCUACUAGACUUUUUCACGAGAAGCAUGAUUCUUCUCUGUCUUACAGCUGGACUAUUGCCAAAAUUUACAUUUUACUUAAGCAAAGUAAAGUAUUUUCAUUGCUUCACUCUACACAAUCACUUGUUUCAUACUUUAAGGCCAGAAGAAAAUCAGCAGAUCAUAUAAUCUGACUCCAAGAAUAUGACAGGCCUUUAAAUUUGACCCAGUUACUGAGACCAAUAAACUGCUCCUUGACUAAAGCAUGACACAUGUCUGAAUAAAAUAUACCUUUCAGAAGGCAUCCACAGUGUUGAUCUGAAAACAGUCAGAGAUGGAGAAUUCACCACUUCCCCUGGUAGCUUGUUCCAAUGGUUAAUCACCUUCAUCAAUUUCUAUCUUUUGAAUAAUUUGAAUUUGUCUGGCUUCAGCUUCCAACUAUUGGCUGAUGUUCUGCCUUUUUUUCCCCUUGAUUAAAGAACCCAUUAGUACCCAGUAUUUUCUCCUGGGAAAGACAUUUAUCCACUAAUCUUGUCACGUCUGUUUUUAUAUAUAAACUAAAGAGACUGAACUCU